ensembl:snoRNA SNORA70 Small nucleolar RNA SNORA70
UUGACAUAAUUAGGUUAACUGCCCUCUGUCCUGUAGAAGCUGCCGUGCAAUGGCUGCAAAGAGCAGCCUCCUUGGUGGUGUACACGGCCUGUUAGCAUAUGUAAAGUUCCCUAAGGGGCCUCGGAGGCAGCC